rnacentral:tRNA from 1 species
GCCCCCGUAGCUCAGUGGAUAGAGCAUCGGACUUCUAAUCCGCAGGUCGCUGGUUCGAAUCCAGCCGGGGGCG